GGAACCAAACGAACCCUGAAAGAUCAACUCUCAAACGCCUCUUCUUGGCAAACUUUCAACGAGUUGCUGAGUCUUCCAGACGAUGUUCGCCCAUUUUGGGCAAUAACAUAAAUGUUUCUUGCCUUCUUCCUUCAGUGGGUUGGAUUCCCAAACGGUAACAUGCUCUUUUUUCAUUUUUUUUCUUUUCAAUUUUCACUUGGCUUCUCUAGUAAGAUUAGAAAUUCGAAUUCCCGCUUAAAGUUGAGACCCUAACUUUCUCCCCUAUAAAUGCUUGAAUUUGGAACCCUAGAAGGGGGGAAAAAGGGAGCCUCCAGUGCCCUGAAAUUUUCACAAUCGGAGAGGUUUUUUUGGACACCCACAAAAUAGGUUUUUACAUCUACAUUAAGUUUGAACACUCCCAGGUUCUGAACCUUUCAAUUACUUGGCUCUAAAGAAGAAAAUUUUCUCUUAUAAGUCUAGUUCUUGAAUUAUCGGAACAAGUUAAAAUAUUUUUUUUGAGUUCGAGUUAGUUGUCGCAUUGGUUCGAAGGUGAUUCACAACUCUCGUCGCCCCCGUCGCUACUCGACAAAAAGUUUGAGGCAAUCUGGAGACUCGAGAAUGCAGUUUUGAUUUAUUGGGAAGUGUGCUUGAAUUGUGAAUUUGAGAUACUGUUGUUGAGAACGAGGCUGGUAAUUGAAGACUUCGUGAGUGGAUUCUGUUGCUGAGGUGAGCCACCGCAUUGUUCGUGGAGGCAGCCAUUUUCAGUUUUAUCUAGUUUAUUUCUAGUUAUGUCUUUUAUUUUGGGUUUACAUGCCCGACACUCAAACUCAUGUAACUCUGUUAGAUGCUCCAUGGUCUUAGCGUGGGAUGUGGGCUAGAGAUUCUUUUUAUCUUAGCGUUGAUUGGUUUUCAUAAAUCGAUUAUGGAUUUGGUUGGCGACUAUUUCGCAUUUUUAUCAUUAAUAACGUUGUUGGA